CAGUAGCCGCGGUAAUACGAAGGGUGCAAGCGUUAAUCGGAAUUACUGGGCGUAAAGCGUGCGUAGGCGGUUUGUUAAGUCUGCUGUGAAAUCCCCGGGCUCAACCUGGGAAUGGCAGUGGAUACUGGCAAGCUAGAGUGUGUCAGAGGAUGGUGGAAUUCCCGGUGUAGCGGUGAAAUGCGUAGAGAUCGGGAGGAACAUCAGUGGCGAAGGCGGCCAUCUGGGACAACACUGACGCUGAGGCACGAAAGCGUGGGGAGCAAACAGGAUUAGAUACCCGUGUAGUCCCUGUCUCUUAUAC
rnacentral:rRNA from 1 species